GAAGCGAGGAGGGGGCGGAGGGACACAGCCGGGGCCGAGCGCACGUUUUGCGGGAGAAGAUGGCACAGUGUGGAAAAGGAGAGUGGGCGGCUUCCCUCGGCCGCGGAGUCUGGGAGGCGGGGAGACGUCUCUGAGGUGAAGGAGCACGGCUGGGGAGGCGGCGCCAGGGCCUUUCUACAGCGGAGAAGGGAGAGGGAGCGGGGACUCCUUUGCCUGGCGGAGGGGUCCCGGGCAUCCUCUGCGAGCGGCGCCGGGCGCCCGACUGCGGCCCUAGCUGGGGGCUCGGCCCGGCGGCCCCCCCGCCCCCACCCCCACCCCGUGCGGGAGCAUCUGGGCCACCGUCGGUCCUCCACGCGGGAGCAGCGGGGGCAGCCGGGUCCCACCCCAGGGCGGCGCGGGGCGGCCCGUCGGUCCUCCACGCGGGAGCAGCGGGGGCAGCCGGGUCCCACCCCCAGGGCGGCGCGGGGCGGCCCGUCGGUCCUCCACGCGGGAGCAGCGGGGGCAGCCGGGUCCCACCCCAGGGCGGCGCGGGGCGGCCCGUCGGUCCUCCACGCGAGAGCAGCGGGGGCAGCCGGGUCCCACCCCCAGGGCGGCGCGGGGCGGCCCGUCGGUCCUCCACGCGGGAGCAGCGGGGGCAGCCGGGUCCCACCCCAGGGCGGCGCGGGGCGGCCCGUCGGUCCUCCACGCGGGAGCAGCGGGGGCAGCCGGGUCCCACCCCAGGGCGGCGCGGGGCGGCCCGUCGGUCCUCCACGUGGGAGCAGCGGGGGCAGCCGGGUCCCACCCCCAGGCCGGCGCGGGGCGGCCCGUCGGUCCUCCACGUGGGAGCAGCGGGGGCAGCCGGGUCCCACCCCAGGGCGGCGCGGGGCGGCCGGUCGGUCCUCCACGCGGGGGCAGCCGGGUCCCACCCCAGGGCGGCGCGGGGCGGCCCGUCGGUCCUCCACGUGGGAGCAGCGGGGGCAGCCGGGUCCCACCCCAGGGCGGCGCGGGGCGGCCCGUCGGUCCUCCACGCGGGGGCAGCCGGGUCCCACCCCCAGGCCGGCGCGGGGCGGCCCGUCGGUCCUCCACGUGGGAGCAGCGGGGGCAGCCGGGUCCCACCCCAGGGCGGCGCGGGGCGGCCGGUCGGUCCUCCACGCGGGGGCAGCCGGGUCCCACCCCCAGGCCGGCGCGGGGCGGCCCGUCGGUCCUCCACGUGGGAGCAGCGGGGGCAGCCGGGUCCCACCCCCAGGGCGGCGCGGGGCGGCCCGUCGGUCCUCCACGUGGGAGCAGCGGGGGCAGCCGGGUCCCACCCCAGGCCGGCGCGGGGCGGCCCGUCGGUCCUCCACGCGGGAGCAGCGGGGGCAGCCGGGUCCCACCCCCAGGCCGGCGCGGGGCGGCCCGUCGGUCCUCCACGCGGGAGCAGCGGGGGCAGCCGGGUCCCACCCCAUCCACGUGGGAGCAGCGGGGGCAGCCGGGUCCCACCCCAGGGCGGCGCGGGGCGGCCGGUCGGUCCUCCACGCGGGGGCAGCCGGGUCCCACCCCAGGGCGGCGCGGGGCGGCCCGUCGGUCCUCCACGUGGGAGCAGCCGGGUCCCACCCCCAGGGCGGCGCGGGGCGGCCCGUCGGUCCUCCAGGGCGGGAGCAGCGGGGGCAGCUCCCAUUGGGUCCCAUUCCCCAGGGGCGAUGGGGGGGGCGCCCCAGCAGUUCGCUGCCUCUUCCACGGGAGCGGGAGCGCUUGUGCUCGGCUCCAUCCCAUACCCCAGGGCUGGCUUGGGGAUACUCCUUCAUCUGGGGGUUCUUAGGCCCCUCGCUCGGGGAAGUUGAUGUGGCUGACCGUGAACAGAGGGGGUCCUGA
rnacentral:lncRNA from 1 species